UACGUAGGGUGCGAGCGUUGUCCGGAAUUAUUGGGCGUAAAGGGCUCGUAGGCGGUCUGUUGCGUCGGGAGUGAAAACUCGGGGCUCAACUCCGAGCCUGCAGUCGAUACGGGCAGACUAGAGUGCUGUAGGGGAGACUGGAAUUCCUGGUGUAGCGGUGAAAUGCGCAGAUAUCAGGAGGAACACCGGUGGCGAAGGCGGGUCUCUGGGCAGUAACUGACGCUGAGGAGCGAAAGCGUGGGGAGCGAACAGG
rnacentral:rRNA from 1 species